GAGGGUAUAGCUCAGUAGUAGAGUGCAUGUUUAGCAUGCAUGAGGUCCUGAGUUCAAUCCCCAGUACCUCCA
rnacentral:tRNA from 1 species